rnacentral:lncRNA from 1 species
GAAUGAUAAGAAUUUUUGUAAAUAUAUGAACAUGAAAGCUAAGUUUACAUAUUGGUUAGUGAUCAGAGAGGAUAUUUUACAAUAAAAUAGAAAUGUUGAGAAACUUUGAAUAUUUCAAUACAUUGCUUUGAUGUAGACAGGCAACCCAUAAUACACUUUUCCAAAACUAUAGGCAUAGAAUACAAAAAUCAACAUGCUAUAGUGACACCAUUCAAAUCAUCGCUGAGUAUGGCAGUACCAAAAUAACAAUGGAACGAAGGGAGCAAUUAACUAAAAUGUUUCAUAUGCAGAAAGACAAUCGAAUAUCUCCUAUUUAUAUUUGAAGUUGCCGCGUGUAUAAAUUUACACAGCUAGUAACCAUUCAUAAUAAUAGACCAAUGUACAAAAUUUGGUAUAAGAAUUUAUUACAGGCAUAAAUAUAAUGUGAAAUGAGCAUCUACACCAUGGUAGAGGGCGGUAGUAUAACACAUGCUGAAAACUAAAAACAGGGAUUGCUAAGAUUAUCAACCAUGCUAUGCGUAGAAAUAGUUUGCUUCAUCCAUGUAAACAUAUAAUCAUGUAAAAUCUCAUUUUAGACUUUAGACCAAAUAAGAGGUCUUGACGUUAAGUUUAAAAGGGCACCCUGGUCUGGUAUUGGCUGUUAGCUUUUCUUUCUUGGUCUUCGCCCUCCUCCUCAUGCAUGCAUAUUGCUCUCAGACUUGGACCAAUGUCUCAUGUGCCAAGAUGACAUCAAUCACACAUUCUAGCCAUGGAAAAGGGUAGGUGAUAGUUAGUGCUAUUCUGUUUGUUUAUAAUCUUUGUACUUAUGGAGGGAUGUUGGUGCAGUGGUUUAAUUGGAGUAAGAAACCUUGUAGGAAAGAGAAGCUCACAAGUAUUCUACAAGUCUUAUAAUCCGCCUUAGCAUAUCAGGAAACUAAACAUCUUUAGCUCACCUGUCUCUGAUGAUUCUUGGUGAUCUUUCAUUCUUCCCAUCCAAAUCUACUAAAGGGGAUGCAUAGCGUAACAAAUAUACAAACAUAUGGAAAUGGUGGAUCUUUAUAAGUUUGUUUUACUCAAAUUGUUGUUCAUCUGCCUAAAUUGACUCAUAAAAAUUAAGUUGUCAAAAAUAAGAAGAAAGCAAACCUUGAGAAAGAGAAUAAAGUGAGUGUCGCAACCCUUUGCAGCUCCUCUUGUUGUUUUGCAGCAAUAACAUCAGACCAGCUGUUCAUAUCUAUUAGCUCUUUCAUAUGGGUGCUUUUUCCAUCACAUCAUCCACGGCUUCCUAAAAAUGAUACUGCAGAUUACAGUGGGUUAGUUAAAAACGAAAAAGAAGUCAUAUAGCAGCGAAGUGGAUGCAAGUACACAAAUAUGAACUGCUAAUGUAUAAAUGUUGCACAUUUAGGGUACACUGAAAGCUGAAUUCUAAAAUCGGAGGUGCUUAUUUCUGUAAGUAUGGUAAAUAUCUAGAAACUAUAACAUCUUACACAAUAGAUGAUGAAGCUAUCGAGACAUUCUUUCCUUUCUACAAAACUAAUCUACAAAUCUUAAAGCAAAUGUAUUUAGCAAACUGCCCUUAUUCAGACCAAGAAAUUCAUCUGAUAGUUAACAUCAUGAACUGUACUUUCUAUAUCUGAUUCUUCUUCUGGCAACGUACCUGCAGAAAAAAGGCAUGGCCAACAUGAGAUGACUUGGACGACAGCAUGCCACUAUGCCAGGGACACCGGUUCAACCAGCCAGCUAUCGUGCGGAGUUGAAAAGCCGUGAUGGCCGCCAGCGCGCGUGGCGGAGGUCACAGAAGAGGUGUCGUUGUUCGAGGUCAAGGUCGAGGUUGGGGAAGCGGGAUGCUUGCAUGACGAGGAGGAAAAAAGCAGAGCUUCACCGUGUUCUAGGCUUCUAGCUCGACUCACCCUCC